UUGAACGCUGGCGGCGUGCCUAACACAUGCAAGUCGAGCGGUAACAGGUGUAGCAAUACAUGCUGACGAGCGGCGGACGGGUGAGUAACGCUUGGGAAUCUGCCUAUUAGUGGGGGACAACCCGGGGAAACUCGGGCUAAUACCGCAUACGCUCUACGGAGGAAAGCCGGGGACCGCAAGGCCUGGCGCUAAUAGAUGAGCCCAAGUCGGAUUAGCUAGUUGGUAGGGUAGUGGCCUACCAAGGCGACGACCCGUAACUGGUCUGAGAGGACGACCAGUCACACCGGGAACUGAGACACGGUCCGGACUCCUACGGGAGGCAGCAGUGGGGAAUAUUGGACAAUGGGCGAAAGCCUGAUCCAGCGACGCCGCGUGGGU
rnacentral:rRNA from 1 species